AGUGAACGCUGGCGGUAGGCCUAACACAUGCAAGUCGAACGGCAGCACAGUAAGAGCUUGCUCUUACGGGUGGCGAGUGGCGGACGGGUGAGGAAUACAUCGGAAUCUACUUUUUCGUGGGGGAUGACGUAGGGAAACUUACGCUAAUACCGCAUACGACCUACGGGUGAAAGCAGGGGAUCUUCGGACCUUGCGCGAUUGAACGAGCCGAUGUCGGAUUAGCUAGUUGGCGGGGUAAAGGCCCACCAAGGCGACGAUCCGUAGCUGGUCUGAGAGGAUGAUCAGCCACACUGGAACUGAGACACGGUCCAGACUCCUACGGGAGGCAGCAGUGGGGAAUAUUGGACAAUGGGCGCAAGCCUGAUCCAGCCAUACCGCGUGGGUGAAGAAGGCCUUCGGGUUGUAAAGCCCUUUUGUUGGGAAAGAAAAGCAGCAGGUUAAUACCCCGCUGUUCUGACGGUACCCAAAGAAUAAGCACCGGCUAACUUCGUG
rnacentral:rRNA from 1 species